rnacentral:tRNA from 1 species
GCUCCCAUGGCUCAGCUGGAUAGAGCGGCCCCCUCCUAAGGGGCAGGUCGGUGGUUCGAAUCCACCUGGGAGCGCCA